rnacentral:rRNA from 1 species
GCUUGUCUCAAAGAUUAAGCCAUGCAUGUCUAAGUAUAAGCAACCUUAUACAGCGAAACUGCGUACAGCUCAUUAUAUCAGCAAUUAUUUAUUUGAAGAUCACCUAUUACAUGGAUAACCGUGGUAAUUCUAGAGCUAAUACAUGCGAAAAGACGGGCCGCAAGGCUUGUUGUAUUUAUUAGAUAAAAAACCAAUGCGGGUUCUGCCCGGUUUUGUGUUGAAUCAUAGUAACUUUUCGAAUCGCAUGGCUUCACGCCGGCGAUAGUUCAUUCAAAUUUCUGCCCUAUCAGCUUUCGACGGUAGUGUAGUGGACUACCGUGGCGUUAACGGGUAACGGAGAAUUAGGGUUCGAUUCCGGAGAGGGAGCCUGAGAAACGGCUACCACAUCUAAGGAAGGCAGCAGG